GUGUGCAUGGCUGUCGUCAGCUCGUGUCGUGAGAUGUUGGGUUAAGUCCCGCAACGAGCGCAACCCUCGCCUUUAGUUGCCAUCAUUAAGUUGGGCACUCUAGAGGGACUGCCGGUGAUAAGCCGGAGGAAGGUGGGGAUGACGUCAAGUCCUCAUGGCCCUUAUGGGUUGGGCUACACACGUGCUACAAUGGCGGCGACAAUGGGCAGCGAAGGGGCGACCCGGUGCAAAUCCCAAAAAGCCGUCUCAGUUCGGAUUGCACUCUGCAACUCGAGUGCAUGAAGGUGGAAUCGCUAGUAAUCGCGUAACAGCAUGACGCGGUGAAUACGUUCCCGGGCCUUGUACACACCGCCCGUCACACCAUGGGAGUUGGUUUUACCCGAAGCUGGUGCGCUAACCGCAAGGAGGCAGCCAACCACGGUAAGGUCAGCGACUGGGGUGAAGUCGUAACAAGGUAACCGUAAGUCGUAACAAGGUAGUCGUAAGUCGUAACAAGGUAGCCGUAAGUCGUAACAAGGUAGCCGCAAGUCGUAACAAGGUAGCCGUAAGUCGUAACAAGGUAGCCGUAAGUCGUAACAAGGUAGCCGUAAGUCGUAACAAGGUAACCGUAAGUCGUAACAAGGUAACCGUAAGUCAUAACAAGGUAGUCGUAAGUCGUAACAAGGUAACCGUAGAGUUUGAUCAUGGCUCAGGUACUCUAAGUCGUAACAAGGUAACCGUAAGUCGUAACAAGGUAGCCGCAGAGUUUGAUCAUGGCUCAGACUCUAAGUCGUAACAAGGUAACCGUAAGUCGUAACAAGGUAGCCGUAAGUCGUAACAAGGUAGCCGUAGAGUUUGAUCCUGGCUCAGGAUAAGUCGUAACAAGGUAGCCGUAGAGUUUGAUCAUGGCUCAGGAUAAGUCGUAACAAGGUAACCGUAAGUCGUAACAAGGUAACCGUAAGGGCGAAUUCUG
rnacentral:rRNA from 1 species